GACGAACCGAGCGAACGUUGUUCGGAAUCACUGGGCAUAAAGGGCGCGUAGGCGGGGAUCUAAGUCCGUGGUGAAAUACCUUGGCUCAACCAAGGAACUGCCUCGGAUACUGGGUCUCUCGAGGAAGAUAGGGGCUUGCGGAACGGCUGGUGGAGCGGUGAAAUGCGUUGAUAUCAGUCGGAACUCCGGUGGCGAAGGCGGCAAGCUGGAUCUUUUCUGACGCUGAGGCGCGAAAGCCAGGGAGCGAACGGG
rnacentral:rRNA from 1 species